rnacentral:rRNA from 1 species
ACGCACGUUGGCGGCGUGCUUCAUCCCUGCCAGUCACCUGAAGCAGUGGUAGCAAUAUCGCUGUGGAGGUGGCGCACGGGUGAGUAACACGUAGGUAAUCUGCCUUCAGGUCUGGCAUAACUCCGGGAAACCGGGGCUAAUAGCAGAUGAUGCAGCGGCUCGACAUCGAGACAGUUGUUAAAGCUAUGGCGCCUGAAGAUGAGCCUGCGUCUGAUUAGCUAGUUGGCGGGGUAACGGCCCACCAAGGCAACGAUCAGUAGCUGGUCUGAGAGGAUGAUCAGCCACACUGGAACUGAGACACGGUCCAGACUCCUACGGGAGGCAGCAGUAAGGAAUAUUGCUCAAUGGGAGAAAUCCUGAAGCAGCAACGCCGCGUGAGGGACGAAGGGCUUUUGCUUGUAAACCUCUGUAGUGAGAGAAAAAAAUCCCAAUCUUUGGGACAUGAUGGUAUCUCAAAAGUAAGCCCCGGCUAACUACGUG